UCCNGAUGUUUGGAUUAAAGGCCUGUGCU
rnacentral:piRNA from 1 species